AUGCUGGAGGUAUCAGAAGUGCGAAUGCUGACAUAAGUAACGAUAAAGCGGGUGAAAAGCCCGCUCGCCGGAAGACCAAGGGUUCCUGUCCAACGUUAAUCGGGGCAGGGUGAGUCGACCCCUAAGGCGAGGCCGAAAGGCGUAGUCGAUGGGAAACAGGUUAAUAUUCCUGUACUUGGUGUUACUGCGAAGGGGGGACGGAGAAGGCUAUGUUGGCCGGGCGACGGUUGUCCCGGUUUAAGCGUGUAGGCUGGUUUUCCAGGCAAAUCCGGAAAAUCAAGGCUGAGGCGUGAUGACGAGGCACUACGGUGCUGAAGCAACAAAUGCCCUGCUUCCAGGAAAAGCCUCUAAGCAUCAGGUAACAUCAAAUCGUACCCCAAACCGACACAGGUGGUCAGGUAGAGAAUACCAAGGCGCUUGAGAGAACUCGGGUGAAGGAACUAGGCAAAAUGGUGCCGUAACUUCGGGAGAAGGCACGCUGAUAUGUAGGUGAAGUCCCUCGCGGAUGGAGCUGAAAUCAGUCGAAGAUACCAGCUGGCUGCAACUGUUUAUUAAAAACACAGCACUGUGCAAACACGAAAGUGGACGUAUACGGUGUGACGCCUGCCCGGUGCCGGAAGGUUAAUUGAUGGGGUCAGCGCAAGCGAAGCUCUUGAUCGAAGCCCCGGUAAACGGCGGCCGUAACUAUAACGGUCCUAAGGUAGCGAAAUUCCUUGUCGGGUAAGUUCCGACCUGCACGAAUGGCGUAAUGAUGGCCAGGCUGUCUCCACCCGAGACUCAGUGAAAUUGAACUCGCUGUGAAGAUGCAGUGUACCCGCGGCAAGACGGAAAGACCCCGUGAACCUUUACUAUAGCUUGACACUGAACAUUGAGCCUUGAUGUGUAGGAUAGGUGGGAGGCUUUGAAGUGUGGACGCCAGUCUGCAUGGAGCCGACCUUGAAAUACCACCCUUUAAUGUUUGAUGUUCUAACGUUGACCCGUAAUCCGGGUUGCGGACAGUGUCUGGUGGGUAGUUUGACUGGGGCGGUCUCCUCCUAAAGAGUAACGGAGGAGCACGAAGGUUGGCUAAUCCUGGUCGGACAUCAGGAGGUUAGUGCAAUGGCAUAAGCCAGCUUGACUGCGAGCGUGACGGCGCGAGCAGGUGCGAAAGCAGGUCAUAGUGAUCCGGUGGUUCUGAAUGGAAGGGCCAUCGCUCAACGGAUAAAAGGUACUCCGGGGAUAACAGGCUGAUACCGCCCAAGAGUUCAUAUCGACGGCGGUGUUUGGCACCUCGAUGUCGGCUCAUCACAUCCUGGGGCUGAAGUAGGUCCCAAGGGUAUGGCUGUUCGCCAUUUAAAGUGGUACGCGAGCUGGGUUUAGAACGUCGUGAGACAGUUCGGUCCCUAUCUGCCGUGGGCGCUGGAGAACUGAGGGGGGCUGCUCCUAGUACGAGAGGACCGGAGUGGACGCAUCACUGGUGUUCGGGUUGUCAUGCCAAUGGCACUGCCCGGUAGCUAAAUGCGGAAGAGAUAAGUGCUGAAAGCAUCUAAGCACGAAACUUGCCCCGAGAUGAGUUCUCCCUGACUCCUUGA
rnacentral:rRNA from 1 species